CAGAGAAUAGUUUUAAUUUAGAAUACUAGCUUUGGGAGUUAGUGGUGGGUGUUAGAAUCACUCUUCUUUGA
rnacentral:tRNA from 1 species